CCCCUUGGAUAAUGCUUUAUGUUGGAUAUAGUUCAACCCCUACUGUGGAGACCAGGGCCCCACUACCCUUAGAUCUGGUUCCUCCACCUAUCCUGACCCUGCCGCCUGGUCCUGAGCCUUACCCUGAGGCUUAGCUCCAACCUUUGAUAAAUAGUUGCUCCUUAAUCUGUUUCCACCCUGGGGGCUCAUCAUGUCAUAUUUUGUCUUUUGCCUUUCUUUUCACGCUCGCUCUUUUUUUUUUUUUUUUGAGACAGGGUGUCUCUGUCACCCACGCUAGAGUGCAGUGACAGGAUUAUCACUCACUGCAGCCUCGACCUCCUGGGCUCAAGUGAUCCUCCCAGCUCAGCCUUCCAGAGUAGCAGAGACUGCAGACCUACACCACCAUGCCCAGUUGCCCGGUUAAUUUUUUUUUGUGACAGUUUGAAGAGGGGAGAAGAUCUCACUGUGUUGCCCAGGCUGGUCUCAAACUUCCGGGCUCAAGCGAUUCCCCUACCCAGACGUCCCAAAGUGCUGGGGUUACAGGUGUGAGCUAUCACACCCGGCUGUGCGCUUUCUGAGUUUGUUUCUGCUUAUGGUGGAGGGCUUGUUCCCGCUCUUCCCACAGGAACCCAGGAUGUGGCACAGCUUCCCUGCGGUCUUCCUUCAGUCAGUUGGCUACGCCUCCCAUCCUAGCUCCACCUCCAGAACUGCCCUCCCCCUGGGCUGGGUGCUUGUUUUGUUUUUAGAGACAGGGUGUCACUCUGUCGCCCAGUGCAGUGGAGUGCAGUGGCGUGAUCUCGGCUCACUGCCACCUCCACCUCCAGAGUUCAAGUGAUUCUCCUGCGUCAGCCUCCGGAGUAGCUAGGAUUACAGGCAUGCACCACCAUGCCUGGCUAAUUUUUAUAUUUUUAGUAGAGAUGAGGUUUCAGCAUGUUGGCCAGGCUGGUGUCGAACUCUUGGCUUCAGGUGAUCCCCCAGCCUCACCUCCCAAGGUGCUGGGAUUACAGGCGUGGGCCACUGCACCCGGCCAGCUGGGUCCUUGUUCUGCUGCCCAGGCUUGGCCCUGGUUCCGUGGGUUGGUUCUACUUUUUGUUCUCCCAUCUUUUGCCUCCUGCCUCCUCCUUGAGCUUAGCCCCGCCCUCUCAGCCUGAUUUCUGUUUCCCAAGUCCAGCUGUGCCAUGGGAUAGGUGGGAUAGGUUUUGCUUGCUUUUGCUGUCUCCAUCGUGCUUACACCUACCUGAUCCUGGGCUCUGGGGACUCCCCAUGGUUUCCUUCCUUCGGCAGGCCCAAAAUGAUGGCCCCUCCUAACCUAAGGCAGGGGAUCUUCCUCCCAACUCUGGACCAAGGUGGCAUUUCCUGCACGUCCCUCCAGGCCGAGAUGAUGCUCGCUGUCAACUCUCUAGGCCAAAGUGGCAUCUCUUCCUGACUCUCCAGACCUAAAGUGACACCCUUCAGGUACUUCGGGCCCAAUUCAACCUUGCCCUGGUGCUUUGGGCUCCAGAUGACAGCACUUUGCAGAUAAGAACGAUAUGACGUGUGGAUUUCACUACACUUGGCUCCUGGAUACUAUAAAAGGACUUGGAUUUCUGAUUUGGCUCAGGGACUGGGGUUAGGAGCCUCUUUCUGCUCCUUCUCACCUGCGCUUUCUUCUGAUCCCAGCUCUGGUCCCUCAACCGUAUUCAUAUUUACUCUCCCCUCCCAACCUGAUACCCCUGUCCCUCAUCCCAACCCAAAGCCAAGAUCUUAGCCCCCAAGAUGGAGAAUGGGGAGGAGCUUUCUAUGGCAGACUGAUUAAAACUCUUAAGCAUU